rnacentral:rRNA from 1 species
UACGUAGGGGGCAAGCGUUGUCCGGAAUUAUUGGGCGUAAAGAGCUCGUAGGCGGCUUGUUGCGUCGACUGUGAAAACCCGCGGCUUAACUGCGGGCUUGCAGUUGAUACGGGCAGGCUAGAGUUCGGUAGGGGAGACUGGAAUUCCUGGUGUAGCGGUGAAAUGCGCAGAUAUCAGGAGGAACACCGGUGGCGAAGGCGGGUCUCUGGGCCGAUACUGACGCUGAGGAGCGAAAGCGUGGAGAGCAAACAGG